CUGAAGUUGUGUGAAUUGAUCAUACUCCUAUUAUCUGGUCUUCAGAGACAGAGAAUUGCUGGCUACAGCUGACUGACUGGCAAGACUCCUUUUGGAAGGGGCCUAUCAGAAGAGAGAACAGUUAUCAAAUUUCCUCUGAAAAAGAAAAGGAGAAAGCUAAGCAGAUAUUUAAAGUCUCAGCGUUUUCAGAAGACACCAUUUAAGCAUUACUGAUUUUUUCAAAUUGCUAUCUAUUAGGUGCUCAGUUUCCAUCAUUGGUCAUAUAUAAAGCCCUCAUGGUGCUGAUGCAGCCUACAGCACGAAAUUUAAGCUAAAAUAUCAAACAUCCUACAAUCAAGUCCCUUUUUGCUAGAAAAGUUUGGGUCUCUGAUCCCUUCUGCAAGGUUCUGGAAACUCUGAAUUGUAGGUUCAAGACACCUUUCAGGACUGGACCUCUGUGAGCAAAGUCAUUGCAUUAUGGGUUUUGCAGCACAGUUCAUAGUUCCA